AAGUGUCUACCAAGGGAUCCAAAAAAAAAAAAACAUCUCAUUGGCGGCCAGUUAGCCAGUGCAGUACCAAUGAUGUACCUGGUAAAAAGGCCAUGAAAGAUCAGAUACUAGACAUCUGUGAUGAAAGAGGGGAUGAAAAGGCUGAUCUUGUAUGUUUGCGGAUACUGGGAGCCCCAUCAGAUCUGCAUGGAGCAGAUGCCCAGUAUCACAGAGACGGUUUGAAGGAGUUCAAAGGUGCAAGAAAGGUUGCUGCUGUAAAAA